AUUGAACGCUGGCGGCAGGCCUAACACAUGCAAGUCGAGCGGAGUGGCGGACGGGUGAGUAAUGCCUAGGAAUCUGCCUGGUAGUGGGGGAUAACGUCCGGAUACGGGCGCUAAUACCGUAUCCUAUCAGAUGAGCCUAGGUCGGACUAGCUAGUUGGUGGGGUAAAGGCCUACAAAGGCGACGAUCCGUAACUGGUCUGAGAGGCUGAUCAGUCACACUGGAAACGAUACACGGGCCAGACUCCUACGGGAGGCAGCAGAGGGGAAUGUUGGGCAAUGGGCGAAAGCGUGAUCCAGCCAUGCCGGGUGUGUGAAGAGGGUCUUCGGAUUGUAAAGCUCUUUAAGUUGGUAGGCGGUACGUACAGAAUAAGCACCGGCUAACUACGUGCCAGCAGCCGCGGUAAUUC
rnacentral:rRNA from 1 species